rnacentral:rRNA from 1 species
UACAGAGGUGGCGAGCGUUGUUCGGAUUUACUGGGCGUAAAGGGCGCGUAGGCGGCCGUGUGUGUCGCGUGUGAAAUCCCCGGGCUCAACCCGGGAAGUGCGCGCGAAACUGCGGGGCUCGAGCGGAGGAGGGGAGAGCGGAAUUAAUGGUGUAGCGGUGAAAUGCGUUGAUAUCAUGAGGAACACCGGUGGCGAAGGCGGCUCUCUGGAAUCCUGCUGACGCUGAGGCGCGAAAGUCGGGGGAGCAAACAGGAUUAGAUACCCUGGUA